GACGAACGCUGGCGGCGUGCCUAAUACAUGCCAGUUGAGCGAUGAAGAUUGGUGCUUGCACCAAUUUGAAGAGCAGCGAACGGGUGAGUAACGCGUGGGGAAUCUGCCUUUGAGCGGGGGACAACAUUUGGAAACGAAUGCUAAUACCGCAUAACAACUUUAAACAUAAGUUUUAAGUUUGAAAGAUGCAAUUGCAUCGCUCAAAGAUGAUCCCGCGUUGUAUUAGCUAGUUGGUGAGGUAAAGGCUCACCAAGGCGAUGAUACAUAGCCGACCUGAGAGGGUGAUCGGCCACAUUGGGACUGAGACACGGCCCAAACUCCUACGGGAGGCAGCAGUAGGGAAUCUUCGGCAAUGGACGAAAGUCUGACCGAGCAACGCCGCGUGAGUGAAGAAGGGUUUCGGAUCGUAAAACUCUGUUGGUAGAGAAGAACGUUGGUGAGAGUGGAAAGCUCAUCAAGUGACGGUAACUACCCAGAAAGGGACGGCUAACUACGUG
rnacentral:rRNA from 1 species